CCCGAUCCUGUGUGUGAUUGAGGAGUGUUGGAUGCUAGAAGGGUACAGCUGAUCACCUUUUCCAGCCCGUUUCUCCAGUGUCCACAGCAAGGGGACUUUCAGCUGCGUUCCAUGGACUUGGGGAUCCUGGCUUGUGGGCACCCCGGGCAGGGGAGGGGCCGGGAGCCUCCUCGUUAGCACCACGGACAGCUCGUGAGCCUGGAGGGGGAGGUGGGAGGAGAGCUCGCAGCGCCAGCGCGGGGAGGAGAGAGCGCAAGAGCGGACGGGCGGGGGAGGAAAAGGAGAGGUAAGGAAGGAGGACAGCGGCUCCCAGGCUAGAGGAAGGAAUCUGGAAGCAGUCGGAGCAGCAGGUCUGGGGAACUGUUCCUUUGCAGUGCCUCAGAGUUUGCAGACUCGCAGCUCGCCAGUCGCUCUGGGCGAGGGCUGCUGGCGGAGACCGGACGCCAGAGUUUAAAAUGCAAUGGCCAGAAGACAAGGAAGUAUCACUAGAAUUAUGUGGACAUGGACUCCGGGACUGCUGAUGAUGACUGUGAUCUUUUGGAGUCAGCAAGGGAAUGGACAAGGCCAAGAGUGCUCUGUUAAGCUUGGCUCCUGGUUGCAGGAGUAGCAAAUAACAUUAUGUUCUCAAGGGAAAUCUUUGCUACCAGCGACUCCAAUUUAUUCUUCUUGGUGGCUGAGUAAUACUCUAUUAUAGAUAUACUGGAUUUUUUUAAGAAGACAAGAGAUGGAAGAAAAGGAGGAAGAGGAGGAGAAAGAUGAGGGUACCUGUUAAUCAAAUGUCACUAGUAAGUCAAAAGUACAGACUGUCUCUUCUUGUUGAUGUGCUUGUUUGUUUUGAGACAGUGACUGACUAUGUAGUACAGACUGUCCUGGUGAUGGUCCUUUCUCAGUAAAUUCUGGGAUUAUAGGCAUGCACCACUUCCAAAACAUCAUAUCGAUAAACUCAUCAAAUGAAAAAAACCCCCAAAACAUCAUAGAGAUAUAACAGCAGGGUGGGUGGGAUUAUUAUUUUUUAUUUGCAUUUUCAGGGGAAUAAAAAUAGUAUUUUUAUCAUAGGACAUAGUAGACAGUUUUUCUAAUAUCUUCUCUUGCCAAAGUUACUGCUUGGUCUGGCCUGAUUCCGCUGUGACGUAAACACAUCACUGUCCAAGAUAUUUCUAUUGCUUUGCCUUUUGGUGUGGAUAUUGAGGCCACAGAGACACCUGCAGGUCUUUCUCCAUCAAACGCCUGCACUCUGCACUGUACAGGGCCUGAUAUCUUGGCUUUACCUCUGUGUCCCAUAUACUGUGACAUUUUUGUAUGAAUUCAGCCACCAGAUGUUUUCCACAUGGUGGGAUGUUGUGCCAUUUGGAAUCAUUCACUUAAUAGGUCAUAGUAAACAUGUUACUAUUUAUGAAUUUAUAUGUCUGUUGCUAUGUAACAAACCCAGUAUUUGGUACUCAGAAUCACAGCUAUUUUACUGCUCAUGAUUGCAUGGGGGCAGUAGUGUGGGCAGAACUUGGCAGAGAUGGCUCAUCUGUGCUUGCUACAGCAGAUCUCUCUAACCUCCUUUACACAAGUGGUAUUUGAGGAGCUAGCUGUUGCCUGGACGCCAUGACUGUAACCCAUGGGGACUCCUUAUCCAUCUCCCAUCCUCCUGUCUCUGUGUGUGUCCACCCUCUCUAGAAGCAGAAUUUAACUUUCUUUAUGUGGACCUAGGUCCACGUAAGGAAAGUAGAAACUAAAUGACCCAAGCUUAGAAGUCCCAGAACACAAAUUCUGGCACAUUCUAUUGAAAGCCAACCACAGGGGCAGCGCUGAUUCAAGAGCUGAAGCAUUAGACUCCAUGUCUUGAUGAGGGGGUGAUGAGCAGGUCACAAAGUGGUGUAAGUAGGUUAAGUGGUGAGAGGGUUUUCUCUCUGACUACUACAUCUGAGUGGUUUCCAGAUAGCCUUUUACUGUAAGGCAGAACUAUGAACUCCACAUUCUUCCAGUUAUUUCCUGAGAAGAAUAAAUAUCUGCUUGCUUGUGAUUACAAUUUCAGUUUUUUUAAGAAACCAGUUUGAAAUUUCAAUAUAAUCACCUCUUCUCAAGUAGCGUUGAUGGUUAAUUCAGGAGAACUCACUUCUUUAUUAUCUUUUCUGUCCUUUUGAAAUAAAAAAAUCACUUGUACUCAUUUUAUAUGAUAAGAUAGUGAUUGUGUUAUAGACUCUUGCACACAGCACACUAAUAACUAAAAGUACAAAAAAAGUCCCAUGUUUCUGUAUGGAACAAUGUUGAAUGAUAACUGGCAUCAGUACUUUUGGAAAUUUUUGGAGUAGGAAGAAUACUUGUCUGUCAGCUAAAUUGUGCAAGUCAAGUUUCUAAUUUGCUAUAAUAUUUUGCUUAUCAAUCUGAAGCCAUAUUUUUGUGAUAUGCCAUAGAUAUGCUUACAGAACUUUCAAUUGGCAUGUAGAAAAAAGUGAAAAUUCCUUGGUGUGACAUUUAUGGGCCUGACCCAUUUUCAGCAAUCGCUCAUCUUUCCCAGUCUUACGGGCUAUGCUCCAGCCAAUCAAACCACCUGUAAUUUUCUGAAAUUGCAUUCUGAGUCACACCUGUAAGACUUUGCUGUUUCAACUCUCCAUUGAAGCAUCAUUGUUUGGUCCCCUGAUAUCUUUUACUCCCAUCCCCCAAAGCUUGCCUGAGAACAAUUGUUUCUAGGCUUAGGUAUGGUAUUGAGUCAUAUGAAUCAACCUUAGAAUUGCCUCUUUUUUUGUUGAAUUGAUUUUUUUUAUCUCUUGUAUGCAAAUUUCUAGACUUCUAUGUACGUUUUAUUUUUGAAGUAAAAUGUAUUACCACAUUUAAAUUUGCUUAUGUUUCUCAAUUUUACUAUUUGCAACAUAUCUUUUGUGACUCUUUUAUUCUUAGGACGGUGAUUGAUAUGAUUUUGAUAUUUUAAAAUAAUGUAUCUUGCAUUAAUACACCUAUAUUAAAACUCUUUCUGAUAUUUAAUCUUCUCAGCAAAUAAGUAUUCUCCUCAUGUCCCAAGGCAGAUAUCUAAGUAUUACCUCAGCAUGGAUUAUGCCAAUAUGAUUUACAAGAGAUCACUCAUGUAUGAUUCUGUUUUUUAAUUUGAAACUUGAAACAUGAUUAGAAGCUGAAUUUGUUCAGUCUAAAGAUGUGCUAGGACAGAUUUUAUCUUGGAUGCCACAAAGCAAUCAGGGACUGUUUAAGAACAAGCAGAAAAUCUUUUGUCUUUCAGAAGUCUGUUAAGACAUGGUGUUUGAUGGGCUUGCUUUCCAAGGCACACACUAGUUGAGUGCAAUUAAAUAAUAGAAUGUCAAAUCCACAAGCCAUAUUGUACAGAGUAUGUUUUGGAGAACUGUACCUUGAUGUGCCAUAUAAUUGUCAUAUGCAUUUCAGGCCUGUGCUCAUUAUCAAUUGGAACCAAUCAAAUAAAAACAUGUCAGUAUUCACUGAGAUGCUUACUUGCUCUUACGAGUUAUUUCUAAGGCCCACAGUGAUAGUAUAUUUUUAUGUCUGUCUCCUUCACCUCCUUGCACAGAUAUAGCUGCUCCCUUUCAAUACUCUCAAAUCGGCAUAUUCUUGUAACAGCUUUGCAAAUGAUUGCUUUAUUCAAGGUUAUAUUUAUCUUUCUUUUCCUUCAAUUUACAUUUUUAAAGUUAGAUCAGGAAAGUUAAUUUUGGCACUCAAAAAGAAUCAAUCAAUGUUUUUUUAAACUACACAUUUGUUGGAGUUUAGGUACAUGCAGUAAAAUAUUGUGUGUUUGGAGGUCAGAGAGACAUUAGAUCAUAUUUUAAGGACACUACUUUUUAGCCAAGUGAUUUAGGGAAGUGAAUUCUUUCUUUUUACAUCUACUAUCUCAUCUACAAAAUAUUAUUUAUCCCUAUAAAUCUCUGUUCCCCUAGAAAGUUAAGGUAAACAUUAUUUCCUUUUCUUUUAUGACACUUAGAUAUUUAAACGUGAUGAAUAUAUUCAUACUUAUUUUAGAGAGUAGUCAUUUAUUUUAGAAAAGCCAAUUAUUUUGCCAUCAUGUAUGUUGUCUUCUGAUUGGUACUCCUUAUUUCUUGUUCAGAUUUUCUCCUGCCUUCAGGUAAUAUGUGCUAACAUCUCCAUUAUCUCCCUAUGUGUCUUUGAAACUAAUCCUAAUUGUAGCUCCUGCUUAUUGAACAACUUGGAAUUAUUCUCUCAUCUACAUCUUCUUGAUUCGCCUAUGUUGCCUACAUUGAUUUCAGUGGUGGAAAAAAGUUCUAAGUAAGAACCAUGAUACAUUUUCAAAUUGCUGCACAUGCAUUGUUCAUUCAUGCUGGUUUAUUUGGCAUCCACACACAUGUAAUUUUUCAUUUGUGAACUCUUUUUCUAGGCACUGGGUCUAGACUGAAAAAUAAUAGGCUUUAUCCUUAUCCAUUUGGAACCUGAAAUCAAGCUGGCCAAAAAGUACUAAACUAAAUAAAUAUAUAACUUUUACUGUCAUUAAAUAAAUACAAAAAAUGAAAUGAGAGUCCAGAACAGAAUCCCUUUGCUAUUCUGAAGCAAUAAAUUAGGAUUGUUCUAACAACAUGCAAUUUAAGCUGAGACUUUAAAAAUAAGUGAAGACUAAUCUUAUGACAGGGGUUAAGGCGGAAACUUGAGUAAAUGAAAUUAAACUAGAAAUAAAUUUUGGUGACUCAGAAUGUGUACAGGUUUGGAGUUUAAAAUGUUCAUUUUAAGAACAACUUACCCUGUCUGAAGUACACUGAAAGAUUUUGGCGGAACAGUUGUAUGACCUUAUUUGUAUAUUGAAAGAUAUUACUGUAGCUUCUGUGUGUGGAGCAAGAGAAAAGGAGAAAAAUGUUGCUUGGGAAAGCAAGAGGUGAAGAAGAUCUGUCAUAGAAUUUUAUGAGUAUGUUUUUUAUUUCUAGAACAGGAAUAAAUAGUCAAUAUAAAUUUGGGUUGCUUUGGGUUGUAAAAAUGAAUGGAAGUAGAUGCAAUGGACUUGAGAGUAUAAGAAGGACCACAAAAAAAAAAAAAAAAAAAAAAAAAAAGAAAGAAAACAUCCAAAAUUUUUAAAUUGGGUAGAAAAGUAGAUUUGGUGAAAAACAACCUGGAAGCAUAGCUUACAAAAAAAUGCAAGGACUAUCUUGGGAAUGAGAUUCUAUUCUAUGGUGGAUGCUGGGACCACAGCCCUUAAGAGGACGGCUGCAGAUGAAAACAUGGGGGUCUGUUAAGGUGGCACCUUCUUCUAUAUGGUCUGCAACCAGGGACAAAUAAAUGAUAUAAAAGCCCAAGGCUUCUCCCCAGUGCGACAAAAAGGCCAUUGGGCCUUUUAAGUCUCUGAAGUGUCGGCCCAGCUGCUGAUAUCUGAGUAGGCUGGAGAUAGCCCACUUUUUCCUCUUGCUCUAAUGUGCUUUUCUUCCUCUUUUGUUCCCAAGAGAAUUUCCCAGUGGACCUCCUUUUUGUUAAUAUCCUUCUGAUAUUCUCUUUCUAGGAAUCUCAGCCUACUAGAACAUGAAAACAGUAGAUCUUUCAAGUAAAAAGUGUGCUGGGUAAUGUUUAGGAAUAUUACACAGUGAAGAAAUGAUAUCCAGGAUACAAGAACAUGGUGACCAGUUGUUUUGGUGGAGUCACAAGAGCAGUUAGAACUGAGAACAUUGAUGAUCCUAUUGUAAAGUUGAAAACCUAGAAUUGGCAGAAUAGUGAUAUGAGAAUAUGUUUAAUGAAAAUAUUGAUUAUAUAAUGCUCCUAGAUGAGUAGAGUGGUCAUUGUGCAGCUUGGUUUUAGGUUGGUUUUGAAAAAGAUGCAGCAUAAUUUUAUGUCCAUGGUUUCUAUUAGGCUCAAAGAAGAAACAUGCAAAGGGUAGUAGAAGUGGAGGGUAAUUUAGAGAGUUGUAUAUAUGCAAAAAGCUUGAAAUAAUCAUUUUGAAAGACAAUCCAGUGAAUUGAAAAAAAGUGAUUUUUUUAGGCAACAUUGGAAGUUCUGUUGAAAAUAGUAGUAAUGAAUUUAUACUUGCACAAAUUGUGAUAAAGAUAUUUUUUGCUACUUCCUUAAGAAAAAGGCAAUUCAAAGAAACUUUCAAUUACCUUUCAUUAAAAAGAGCACGUGACUGUGUUUACAUAAACAUAUUCUUUGAUUGGAAACACUUCCUAGUAAAUCUCACCCUUACUCUUUCUAUAGGGCAAAAGAAAAAAACAUUACUCGACUAAUAAGUGAAGAGGAAUUCUUUUUGAAUUUACAAUGAGUGUAUCUUACCUGUCAGUCUAAACUUACCUUGUUGCUCCUCUGUAAUUAGACUAUAACUGAGGAAGAAACACAGUUGUAUACGAUGCAAUGAACAGCUUUGAGGUGCUAAUAUCUAUAGAGAAGAAUGUGAAUGGCUGGGCUGGUUUACUCAAUAGUAUCCGAGAAGGAGAAAUGUGGUUGAGUGAAGGCAGGAGAAAUAGGGAAGGGAAACAGGGGAAGGGAAAUAAAAAUGAUGGAGAUGCAAUAUGUAUGGGUACCAAGUGCCCGCAAUGAAUGGAAUUAUAACUUAUCACAAACAUGUAUUAAUAAGGAAAUGAUACUAAAACAAAGAAUUUUCUGGGGAACUGAUCUAAAUCUGCAUUAGAAAAUUAAAUACAAAACAAGUUAAUGUUCUUUUAAAUUCUUCAAAUUGAAUAUAUGGUGUUAUAUUGUUCAUCUGUUAAUUUUUAAUUAAAAAUAAAUGCAGGUUUCUUAUGAUUUUCAAUUGCCUUAUUUUGUGUAGAGCAACCUUCUAAAGCUUAUUUUAGGAUUUACUUUUCAGUUUAUUAAAUUUAGAGUUUGAGAAACUGAGUCCUUAAGUUUUUCAUUACUAAUAUUAUUUUAUCUUAUUCAUAAAU
rnacentral:lncRNA from 1 species